rnacentral:rRNA from 1 species
AACGAACGCUGGCGGCAGGCCUAACACAUGCAAGUCGAGCGGACCCUUCGGGGUUAGCGGCGGACGGGUGAGUAACGCGUGGGAAUAUGCCCUUCUCUACGGAAUAGUCCUGGGAAACUGGGGGUAAUACCGUAUACGCCCUUUGGGUGAAAGAUUUAUCGGGGAAGGAUUAGCCCGCGUUGGAUUAGGUAGUUGGUGGGGUAAUGGCCUACCAAGCCGACGAUCCAUAGCUGGUUUGAGAGGAUGAUCAGCCACACUGGGACUGAGACACGGCCCAGACUCCUACGGGAGGCAGCAGUGGGGAAUCUUAGACAAUGGGGGCAACCCUGAUCUAGCCAUGCCGCGUGAGUGAUGAAGGCCUUAGGGUUGUAAAGCUCUUUCAGCUGGGAAGAUAAUGACGGUACCAGCAGAAGAAGCCCCGGCUAACUCCGUG